rnacentral:rRNA from 1 species
UGUUGGGUUAAGUCCCGCAACGAGCGCAACCCCUGUCCCAUGUUGCCAGCGAGUCAUGUCGGGGACUCAUGGGAGACUGCCGGUGACAAAUCGGAGGAAGGUGGGGAUGAUGUCAAGUCAUCAUGCCCCUUAUGUCCUGGGCUACACACGUGCUACAUUGGCCGGUACAAAGGGCUGCAAACCUGCGAGGGUGAGCGAAUCCCAAAAAGCCGGUCCCGGUUCGGAUUGAAGGCUGAAACUCGCCUUCAUGAAGGCGGAGUUGCUAGUAAUCGCGGAUCAGCAACGCCGCGGUGAAUACGUACACGGGGCUUGUACACACCGCCCGUCACACCACGAAAGUCGGCAAUACCCGAAGCCGGUGAGCUAACCCUCGGGGA